UACGAAGGGGGCUAGCGUUGUUCGGAAUUACUGGGCGUAAAGGGCUCGUAGGCGGCCAACUAAGUCAGACGUGAAAUCCCUCGGCUUAACCGGGGAACUGCAUCUGAUACUGGAUGGCUUGAGUUCGGGAGAGGGAUGCGGAAUUCCAGGUGUAGCGGUGAAAUGCGUAGAUAUCUGGAGGAACACCGGUGGCGAAGGCGGCAUCCUGGACCGACACUGACGCUGAGGAGCGAAAGCCAGGGGAGCAAAGCGGG
rnacentral:rRNA from 1 species